rnacentral:rRNA from 1 species
GGCCUAUCAGCUUGUUGGUGAGGUAAUGGCUUACCAAGGCGACGACGGGUAGCCGGCCUGAGAGGGUGACCGGCCACACUGGGACUGAGAUACGGCCCAGACUCCUACGGGAGGCAGCAGUGGGGAAUAUUGCACAAUGGGCGCAAGCCUGAUGCAGCAACGCCGCGUGAGGGAUGACGGCCUUCGGGUUGUAAACCUCUUUUGGUAGGGAAGAAGCUUUCGAGUGACGGUACCUGCAGAAAAAGCACCGGCUAACUACGUGCCAGCAGCCGCGGUAAUACGUAGGGUGCAAGCGUUGUCCGGAAUUAUUGGGCGUAAAGAGCUCGUAGGCGGUUUGUCGCGUCUGCUGUGAAAUCCCGAGGCUCAACCUCGGACGUGCAGUGGGUACGGGCAGGCUUGAGUGCGGUAGGGGAGAUUGGAAUUCCUGGUGUAGCGGUGGAAUGCGCAGAUAUCAGGAGGAACACCGAUGGCGAAGGCAGAUCUCUGGGCCGCUACUGACGCUGAGGAGCGAAAGCAUGGGGAGCGAACAGGAUUAGAUACCCUGGUAGUCCAUGCCGUAAACGUUGGGAACUAGAUGUAGGGGCCUUUCCACGGCUUCUGUGUCGACGCUAACGCAUUAAGUUCCCCGCCUGGGGAGUACGGCCGCAAGGCUAAAACUCAAAGGAAUUGACGGGGGCCCGCACAAGCGGCGGAGCAUGCGGAUUAAUUCGAUGCAACGCGAAGAACCUUACCAAGGCUUGACAUAUACGAGAACACUGUAGAGAUACAGGACUCUUUGGACACUCGUAUACAGGUGGUGCAUGGUUGUCGUCAGCUCGUGUCGUGAGAUGUUCGGUUAAGUCCGGCAACGAGCGCAACCCUCGUCCUAUGUUGCCAGCACGUUAUGGUGGGAACUCAUGGGAUACUGCCGUGGUCAACACGGAGGAAGGUGGGGAUGACGUCAAAUCAUCAUGCCCCUUAUGUCUUGGGCUUCACGCAUGCUACAAUGGCCGGCACAAUGGGCAGCGAUACCGUGAGGUGGAGCGAAUCCAAAAAACCGGUCUCAGUUCGGAUUGGGGUCUGCAACUCGACCCCAUGAAGUCGGAGUCGCUAGAAUCGCAGAU